rnacentral:rRNA from 1 species
GGAUUAGUGGCGAACGGGUGAGUAACACGUGAGUAACCUGCCCCUGACUCUGGGAUAAGCCCGGGAAACUGGGUCUAAUACCGGAUAUGACUUUUGACCGCAUGGUUGAGGGUGGAAAGAUUUAUCGGUUGGGGAUGGACUCGCGGCCUAUCAGCUUGUUGGUGAGGUAAUGGCUCACCAAGGCGACGACGGGUAGCCGGCCUGAGAGGGUGACCGGCCACACUGGGACUGAGACACGGCCCAGACUCCUACGGGAGGCAGCAGUGGGGAAUAUUGCACAAUGGGCGCAAGCCUGAUGCAGCGACGCCGCGUGAGGGAUGACGGCCUUCGGGUUGUAAACCUCUUUCAGUAGGGAAGAAGCGAGAGUGACGGUACCUGCAGAAGAAGCGCCGGCUAACUACGUGCCAGCAGCCGCGGUAAUACGUAGGGCGCAAGCGUUAUCCGGAUUUAUUGGGCGUAAAGAGCUCGUAGGCGGUUUGUCGCGUCUAUCGUGAAAGUCCGAGGCUCAACCUCGGAUCUGCGGUGGGUACGGGCAGACUAGAGUGAUGUAGGGGAGACUGGAAUUCCUGGUGUAGCGGUGAAAAUGCGCAGAUAUCAGGAGGAACACCGAUGGCGAAGGCAGGGUCUCUGGGCAUUUACUGACGCUGAGGAAGCGAAAGCAUGGGGGAGCGAACAGGAUUAGAUACCCUGGUAGUCCCAUGC